rnacentral:rRNA from 1 species
CAGUCGCCGCGGGAAUACAGAGGGUGCGAGCGUUAAUCGGAUUUACUGGGCGUAAAGCGUGCGUAGGCGGCUUUUUAAGUCGGAUGUGAAAUCCCUGAGCUUAACUUAGGAAUUGCAUUCGAUACUGGGAAGCUAGAGUAUGGGAGAGGAUGGUAGAAUUCCAGGUGUAGCGGUGAAAUGCGUAGAGAUCUGGAGGAAUACCGAUGGCGAAGGCAGCCAUCUGGCCUAAUACUGACGCUGAGGUACGAAAGCAUGGGGAGCAAACAGGAUUAGAUACCCCUGUAGUCCCUGUCUCUUAUAA